rnacentral:rRNA from 1 species
UCUACGGGUGGCAGCAGUGGGGAAUAUUGCACAAUGGGGGAAACCCUGAUGCAGCAACGCCGCGUGAGUGAAGCAGUAUUUCGGUAUGUAAAGCUCUAUCAGCAGGGAAGAAGAUGACGGUACCUGAGUAAGAAGCCCCGGCUAACUACGUGCCAGCAGCCGCGGUAAUACGUAGGGGGCAAGCGUUAUCCGGAUUUACUGGGUGUAAAGGGCGUGUAGGCGGGGGGGCAAGUCAGAUGUGAAAACCACGGUCUCAACCUGUUGCCUGCAUUUGAAACUGUUUUUCUUGAGUGCUGGAGAGGCAAUCGGAAUUCCGUGUGGAGCGGUGAAAUGCGUAGAUAUACGGGGGAACACCAGUGGCGAAGGCGGAUUGCUGGACAGUAACUGACGCUGAGGCGCGAAAGCGUGGGGAGCAAACAGGAUUAGAUACCCUUGUAGUC